GCUUACGGCCAUACCACCUGAACAUGCCCGAUCUCGUCCGAUCUCGGAAGCUAAGCAGGUCGGGCCUGGUUAGUACUUGGAUGGAGACGCCUGGGAAUACCAGGUGCUGUAAGCU
rnacentral:rRNA from 1 species